UUUGGGAUAUGAUACUUGGUCUUACCAUUUUAUAUUACUUGUGUGACUCGGUACACUUCCCGAUUCAGCCCAACAAUAAUUCAUUUGUUUCUAUGCUUGCUUUUGUUUAUCAUUCUAUUUGUGUGAUCUUUGAUUAAUUUUGACUUUAUUUUACUUUUAUUUUGUUUUCUUAUUUUUAUUUUUCCCAUUUUUUAUUUUUAUUUUUCAAUCCCUAAUUUUUUAUUUUUUUUAUUUUUAUACUAACAAUCUCUCUCUAGAAUUUUUGUUCAGGGACUUGAAGGAGGCCUAAAGGAGAUAGAUUAUCUAGAGAACCUUCUCUAGAGAAAAUUUCACAGGCCUCACAAUAUGAUCUAACAAGGAUGGUAUUCUACCAAGAUAAUUUCAACUACUGGUGGGAACCUUACUCAUGCACAAAUCAAAUUCAAUAUGGGCAAGUUGGUGGGCUAUUCACUAUACCACCACAAGCUAACAAUGCUAAAAAGCUUGAAGAGACCCUC
rnacentral:lncRNA from 1 species